rnacentral:tRNA from 1 species
CCAUCGGUAGCGCAGUGGUUAGUGCAGUCUGCCGCCGGGCACAGGGAGACGCGGGUUCAAUUCCCGUCCGAGGUC